AGUGAACGCUGGCGGUAGGCCUAACACAUGCAAGUCGAACGGCAGCACAGUAAGAGCUUGCUCUUACGGGUGGCGAGUGGCGGACGGGUGAGGAAUACAUCGGAAUCUACUUUUUCGUGGGGGAUAACGUAGGGAAACUUACGCUAAUACCGCAUACGACCUACGGGUGAAAGCAGGGGAUCUUCGGACCUUGCGCGAUUGAAUGAGCCGAUGUCGGAUUAGCUAGUUGGCGGUGUAAAGGCCCACCAAGGCGACGAUCCGUAGCUGGUCUGAGAGGAUGAUCAGCCACACUGGAACUGAGACACGGUCCAGACUCCUACGGGAGGCAGCAGUGGGGAAUAUUGGUCAAUGGGCGCAAGCCUGAUCCAGCCAUACCGCGUGGGUGAAGAAGGCCUUCGGGUUGUAAAGCCCUUUUGUUGGGAAAGAAAAGCAGCAGGUUAAUACCCCGCUGUUCUGACGGUACCCAAAGAAUAAGCACCGGCUAACUUCGUG
rnacentral:rRNA from 1 species